rnacentral:lncRNA from 1 species
GUGUUAAUGGAAUUUUCUGAAUCUAAAGGUAGCUGCACUAAGAACCCGUGUACAGUAGAGUCUUCAUUCAAAGAUGUAAUGUACUUCAUCACCUAAAAGUAUUGUAUUUGUUGCCAAUGAUAAAAUGUAAGUUUUUGGGUGAAAAUUAAAAUUUUUUAUCCACCCUUGUGAGCUUGACAGCUUCUCAAUACUUGAAAACUUCUCUGAUGAGCUUGUUGGUGAUGUUAAUGAUUCCAAUUCUUUCAUAUUGCAUAAUGAAAUGUUAACAUUUGGAAGA